rnacentral:sRNA from 1 species
AAAUCUGAGUCAGCUGAGGUGUCAGAGUGCUCUUCCUGUGGGCUGCUCCCCUCCCUGGCCCCUGGCAGCACCCUCCCCACUCCCUCCCUCACCUUCUAUCGUGCCUGCCUUCCCCUCACAAGCAGAAUGGAGCAUUUGAAGAUCACAGAAUCCCUCUCAGCCCCCAGCUCACUCUGCUCCGUCUCCAUCGAGAAGGCACUGCCUGAGGACAGAGGCUUAUACAAGUGUGUAGCCAAGAAUGACGCUGGCCAGGCGGAGUGCUCCUGCCAAGUCACCGUGGAUGAUGCUCCAGCCAGUGAGAACACCAAGGCCCCAGAGAUGAAAUCCCGGAGGCCCAAGAGCUCUCUUCCUCCCGUGCUAGGAACUGAGAGUGAUGCGACUGUGAAAAAGAAACCUGCCCCCAAGACACCUCCGAAGGCAGCAAUGCCCCCUCAGAUCAUCCAGUUCCCUGAGGACCAGAAGGUACGCGCAGGAGAGUCAGUGGAGCUGUUUGGCAAAGUGACAGGCACUCAGCCCAUCACCUGU